rnacentral:rRNA from 1 species
GACGAACGCUGGCGGCGUGCUUAACACAUGCAAGUCGAACGGAAAGGCCCUGCUUUUGCGGGGUGCUCGAGUGGCGAACGGGUGAGUAACACGUGAGUAACCUGCCCUUGACUUUGGGAUAACUUCAGGAAACUGGGGCUAAUACCGGAUAGGAGCUCCUGCUGCAUGGUGGGGGUUGGAAAGUUUCGGCGGUUGGGGAUGGACUCGCGGCUUAUCAGCUGGUUGGUGGGGUAGUGGCUUACCAAGGCUUUGACGGGUAGCCGGCCUGAGAGGGUGACCGGCGACCUUGGGACUGAGAUACGGCCCAGACUCCUACGGGAGGCAGCAGUGGGGAAUAUUGCACAAUGGGCGGAAGCCUGAUGCAGCAACGCCGCGUGCGGGAUGACGGCCUUCGGGUUGUAAACCGCUUUCGCCUGUGACGAAGCGUGAGUGACGGUAAUGGGUAAAGAAGCACCGGCUAACUACGUG